UUCAAGCGCAUUCAUGAGUGUUCGUGUUCAAUUUUGAUCGGCCGUUUUAUUUUAAUUUUUUUAUGAUCAAUAUUUUUAUUGUUAUUAGAUAAUAAAAUAUGAAUAGUACUUUAUGCGUGACUUAUGUUUUUUAAAUUUUUUAAAUAAGAUGGUUGAUUAAAAUUGGACACUGAAACUCAUGACUGUGUUUAAA
rfam:Oryza punctata chromosome 12, whole genome shotgun sequence.